AAAAAUGAGACAAAAUUUGGAAGAUAACAGCAUCAAAUGGGAAUUAUUAAUCCCCUUGGUUUAGAGACAAAGGAAAAGAAAGAUGUCUUCAUGGAGGAGGAUGGAUA
rnacentral:lncRNA from 1 species